AUGUUUUGUUUUUCUUUGUUUUGUUUUCCCUUGUUUCUUCUUCCUUGUCUUUUUC
rnacentral:ribozyme from 16 species